GGACUACACGGGUUUCUAAUCCUGUUUGCUCCCCACGCUUUCGUGCUUCAGCGUCAGUGUUGUCCCAGAUGGCCGCCUUCGCCACUGAUGUUCCUUCCGAUCUCUACGCAUUUCACCGCUACACCGGAAAUUCCACCAUCCUCUGACACACUCUAGCUGUCCAGUAUCCAUCGCCAUUCCCAGGUUGAGCCCGGGGAUUUCACGACAGACUUAAACAACCGCCUACGCACCCUUUACGCCCAGUAAUUCCGAUUAACGCUUGCACCCUUCGUAUUACCGCGGCUGCUGGCAC
rnacentral:rRNA from 1 species